rnacentral:rRNA from 1 species
CCUACGGGAGGCUGCAGUGAGGAAUAUUGGUCAAUGGACGAGAGUCUGAACCAGCCAAGUAGCGUGAAGGAUGACUGCCCUAUGGGUUGUAAACUUCUUUUAUAUGGGAAUAAAAUGUUCCACGUGUGGGAUUUUGUAUGUACCAUAUGACUAAGGAUCGGCUAACUCCGUGCCAGCAGCCGCGGUAAUACGGAGGAUCCGAGCGUUAUCCGGAUUUAUUGGGUUUAAAGGGAGCGUAGGUGGAUUGUUAAGUCAGUUGUGAAAGUUUGCGGCUCAACCGUAAAAUUGCAGUUGAAACUGGCAGUCUUGAGUACAGUAGAGGUGGGCGGAAUUCGUGGUGUAGCGGUGAAAUGCUUAGAUAUCACGAAGAACUCCGAUUGCGAAGGCAGUUCACUGGACUGCAACUGACACUGAGGCUCGAAAGUGUGGGUAUCAAACAGGAUUAGAUACCCUUGUAGUC